AAAAUAUUUCAAAUAUCAGACAAUCCUUUUCAUAUGUUUCUGAAUGAUAACGUAAUAUUAUUUAACUUGCAUUGCAAAAUUAUAGUAAAAUCCAAUGCAAAAUGAAAUUUUUUAAACCAAAUAGAUCACAAGAUAACGUUUUGAGCCACAUUACAUGAUUAAGAGAAUAAAAAAGCUUGCCUGAAUUGGAGAUAAUGCCGACA